rnacentral:rRNA from 1 species
GCUGGCGGCGUGCCUAAUACAUGCAAGUCGAACGCUUCUUUCCUCCCGAGUGCUUGCACUCAAUUGGAAAGAGGAGUGGCGGACGGGUGAGUAACACGUGGGUAACCUACCCAUCAGAGGGGGAUAACACUUGGAAACAGGUGCUAAUACCGCAUAACAGUUUAUGCCGCAUGGCAUAAGAGUGAAAGGCGCUUUCGGGUGUCGCUGAUGGAUGGACCCGCGGUGCAUUAGCUAGUUGGUGAGGUAACGGCUCACCAAGGCCACGAUGCAUAGCCGACCUGAGAGGGUGAUCGGCCACAC